rnacentral:rRNA from 1 species
AUUUGAGGGGAAAAAUUAAUAAUUUAUAAAUAAUAAAAUUAUUUUUAGAAAUAUUUAGGGGGGUUUAAGUAUUUUUAAAGAAAUAAUUUAAAAAUUUAUAGUAAAAUAGUAUUGUGAAAGAAUUUUGAAAUAUAUGAAAUAUGAAAUUAUUUAAAAGUAUAUUUUAUUUAUAGUAUCUUGUGUAUCAGAGUUUAUUAAAAAAAUUUUAUAUGUAUAAAUUUCUCGAAUUUUGAAGGGCUAAUUAAUUAAAGAAGUUAAUGUUGAAUAAUUAUUUUGAAUAAUUAAUUAGAAAUGAAAUGUUAAACGUUUUAAAAUAUAUCUAGUUUUUUUAAAAAUAAAUUUAAUUUAGAAUAUUAUUAAUUAAUUUUUUUUUUUAUUAAAAAUUAAAUUUUUAAUAUUUAAUAUUUUAAGGGAUAAGCUUUAAAAUAAAUUUUUAUAAUAAGAUAAUUAAUAAAUUAGUUAAAAUUUUAAAAUUUAUAUUGUUAAUAAAUUAUAAUUUUUUAUAAAUAAUUUAAUUAAAAAAAAGAUUUAAGAAUUUAAUUUAAUUUUUUUAUAAAAAAAUAAUUUUUAAUAAAAUAUAAUUAGAUAUAAUGAUAAAAUUAGUAUAUUUAAAACAUGUCUUUUUGUAUUUAAUAUAAAGUUUAAUUUGCCCACUGAUAAUUUAUUAAAGGGCUGCAGUAUUUUGACUGUACAAAGGUAGCAUAAUCAUUUGUUUUUUAAUUGGUGACUUGUAUGAAAGAUUGGAUGAAAUAUAGACUGUCUCAUUAUAAUGAAUAAAAUUUAAUUUUUUAGUAAAAAAGCUAAAAUAAUUUUAAAAGACGAGAAGACCCUAUAGAGUUUAAUAAUUAUUUUUAUAUAGAAUAAAAUAUAAAAAUUUAAAUUUAAAUGGAAGUAAUUAUUUUGUUGGGGUGAUAGAAAAAUUAAAUUAACUUUUUUUUAAGAUAUACAUUAAUAAAUGAAUAAAUGAUCCAUUAAUAAUGAUUAUAAGAAAAAAUUACCUUAGGGAUAACAGCGUAAUUUUUUUUUUUAGGCCAAAUAAGAAAAAGAGUUUGCGACCUCGAUGUUGGAUUAAGAUAAAAUUUAAAUGUAAAAGUUUAAAGUUUUGAUCUGUUCGAUCAUUAAAAUCUUACAUGAUCUGAGUUCAAACCGGUGUAAGCCAGGUUGGUUUCUAUCUUUAGAAAAAUAAAAUAUUUUAGUACGAAAGGAUCAAAUAUUUGAAAUAAUUUUAUUUAAA